UGCCGGGCCCUCUUCCCCGACCCCUGGGGCGCUCCGACAAGGAAGAGCCGUCCAGCGCGCGUCCGUCCUGAGCGUGGGGUCCCAGGCCAGCAUCACUAUCCAGGAGCUUCAGGCAUGCUCCGUGUACCAACAUGGGAUCACGAAUCACAUCGCCUCAGGCCAAGAAAGCCAUUUUAUAGCGAAAGAGCCUUAGGAUCUGCUGGAUUAGAGCCUGUUUCCCAGGUAGGAACGCUUCCACGAGGGCACUCCUGCUGGUUGCAGGAAGGAUACCUCUGCUGAGCCUGAAUCUGCAAAGACCACCAGGUUACUCUCAGCUCCUCAUACUGGUGGACCAGCAGGCCACAAAGGAGGGGAUACUUGAUCCUGAUAAACGGUUAUGCUUGUUUGCUGAUGGAAAUGAUCCAGAAGAGAAGGACAAGUUGACGAUUGAGAGGGUUAAUGUCAGGAGAAGGAGUCUGGAAGGACGCUGACAACGGGUGGUGGUCAGGAAGGAAAACCCAGUGCCUGUGGCCCAGAGGCUGGAGGAGGAACUUCAAGGAGGGAUGUUCAGCUCCCUGUGGACCCCCAUUUGUUCAUCCAUACAAUGAUGCUCUGAGGAGCACACAAGGAAGCCACCGUCUCGAGCUCAGCUUCAACCAUGGCCCUCCCCACAGGGCUCCAUCCCAAGCCAGAGCGGGUCAGUUCCCUACACAGGGCCCAGCAACACGGUGCCCAAGAAAAAGUGUUUCCAGUGGGACGCAUGUCGCCUCCGUGGGUGCUAACUUCUCCCAGUGCCCGUCGGUACGUCCGUCCGGCUGUG
rnacentral:lncRNA from 10 species